rnacentral:rRNA from 1 species
CCCGUACACAAAAAUGCACAUACUGUGAGCUCGAUGAGUAGGGCGGGACACGUGGUAUCCUGUCUGAAUAUGGGGGGACCAUCCUCCAAGGCUAAAUACUCCUGACUGACCGAUAGUGAACCAGUACCGUGAGGGAAAGGCGAAAAGAACCCCGGCGAGGGGAGUGAAAAAGAACCUGAAACCGUGUACGUACAAGCAGUGGGAGCCUCUUUAUGGGGUGACUGCGUACCUUUUGUAUAAUGGGUCAGCGACUUAUAUUCUGUAGCAAGGUUAACCGAAUAGGGGAGCCGAAGGGAAACCGAGUCUUAACUGGGCGUUAAGUUGCAGGGUAUAGACCCGAAACCCGGUGAUCUAGCCAUGGGCAGGUUGAAGGUUGGGUAACACUAACUGGAGGACCGAACCGACUAAUGUUGAAAAAUUAGCGGAUGACUUGUGGCUGGGGGUGAAAGGCCAAUCAAACCGGGAGAUAGCUGGUUCUCCCCGAAAGCUAUUUAGGUAGCGCCUCGUGAAUUCAUCUCCGGGGGUAGAGCACUGUUUCGGCAAGGGGGUCAUCCCGACUUACCAACCCGAUGCAAACUGCGAAUACCGGAGAAUGUUAUCACGGGAGACACACGGCGGGUGCUAACGUCCGUCGUGAAGAGGGAAACAACCCAGACCGCCAGCUAAGGUCCCAAAGUCAUGGUUAAGUGGGAAACGAUGUGGGAAGGCCCAGACAGCCAGGAUGUUGGCUUAGAAGCAGCCAUCAUUUAAAGAAAGCGUAAUAGCUCACUGGUCGAGUCGGCCUGCGCGGAAGAUGUAACGGGGCUAAACCAUGCACCGAAGCUGCGGCAGCGACGCUUAUGCGUUGUUGGGUAGGGGAGCGUUCUGUAAGCCUGCGAAGGUGUGCUGUGAGGCAUGCUGGAGGUAUCAGAAGUGCGAAUGCUGACAUAAGUAACGAUAAAGCGGGUGAAAAGCCCGCUCGCCGGAAGACCAAGGGUUCCUGUCCAACGUUAAUCGGGGCAGGGUGAGUCGACCCCUAAGGCGAGGCCGAAAGGCGUAGUCGAUGGGAAACAGGUUAAUAUUCCUGUACUUGGUGUUACUGCGAAGGGGGGACGGAGAAGGCUAUGUUGGCCGGGCGACGGUUGUCCCGGUUUAAGCGUGUAGGCUGGUUUUCCAGGCAAAUCCGGAAAAUCAAGGCUGAGGCGUGAUGACGAGGCACUACGGUGCUGAAGCAACAAAUGCCCUGCUUCCAGGAAAAGCCUCUAAGCAUCAGGUAACAUCAAAUCGUACCCCAAACCGACACAGGUGGUCAGGUAGAGAAUACCAAGGCGCUUGAGAGAACUCGGGUGAAGGAACUAGGCAAAAUGGUGCCGUAACUUCGGGAGAAGGCACGCUGAUAUGUAGGUGAAGUCCCUUGCGGAUGGAGCUGAAAUCAGUCGAAGAUACCAGCUGGCUGCAACUGUUUAUUAAAAACACAGCACUGUGCAAACACGAAAGUGGACGUAUACGGUGUGACGCCUGCCCGGUGCCGGAAGGUUAAUUGAUGGGGUUAGCGGUAACGCGAAGCUCUUGAUCGAAGCCCCGGUAAACGGCGGCCGUAACUAUAACGGUCCUAAGGUAGCGAAAUUCCUUGUCGGGUAAGUUCCGACCUGCACGAAUGGCGUAAUGAUGGCCAGGCUGUCUCCACCCGAGACUCAGUGAAAUUGAACUCGCUGUGAAGAUGCAGUGUACCCGCGGCAAGACGGAAAGACCCCGUGAACCUUUACUAUAGCUUGACACUGAACAUUGAGCCUUGAUGUGUAGGAUAGGUGGGAGGCUUUGAAGUGUGGACGCCAGUCUGCAUGGAGCCGACCUUGAAAUACCACCCUUUAAUGUUUGAUGUUCUAACGUUGGCCCCUAAUCGGGGUUGCGGACAGUGUCUGGUGGGUAGUUUGACUGGGGCGGUCUCCUCCUAAAGAGUAACGGAGGAGCACGAAGGUUGGCUAAUCCUGGUCGGACAUCAGGAGGUUAGUGCAAUGGCAUAAGCCAGCUUGACUGCGAGCGUGACGGCGCGAGCAGGUGCGAAAGCAGGUCAUAGUGAUCCGGUGGUUCUGAAUGGAAGGGCCAUCGCUCAACGGAUAAAAGGUACUCCGGGGAUAACAGGCUGAUACCGCCCAAGAGUUCAUAUCGACGGCGGUGUUUGGCACCUCGAUGUCGGCUCAUCACAUCCUGGGGCUGAAGUAGGUCCCAAGGGUAUGGCUGUUCGCCAUUUAAAGUGGUACGCGAGCUGGGUUUAGAACGUCGUGAGACAGUUCGGUCCCUAUCUGCCGUGGGCGCUGGAGAACUGAGGGGGGCUGCUCCUAGUACGAGAGGACCGGAGUGGACGCAUCACUGGUGUUCGGGUUGUCAUGCCAAUGGCACUGCCCGGUAGCUAAAUGCGGAAGAGAUAAGUGCUGAAAGCAUCUAAGCACGAAACUUGCCCCGAGAUGAGUUCUCCCUGACUCCCUGAGAGUCCUGAAGGAACGUUGAAGACGACGACGUUGAUAGGCCGGGUGUGUAAGCGCAGCGAUGCGUUGAGCUAACCGGUACUAAUGAACCGUGAGGCUUAACCUU